CCUACGGGUGGCAGCAGUGAGGAAUAUUGGUCAAUGGAAGGGAUCCUGAACCAGCCAAGCCGCGUGAGGGAAGACGGCCCUAUGGGUUGUAAACCGCUUUUGUCGAAGGACAAACCCCAGUACGUGUCCCCAGCUGCAUGUAUCCUACGAAAAAGCAUCGGCUAACUCCGUGCCAGCAGCCGCGGUAAUACGGAGGAUGCGAGCGUUAUCCGGAUUUAUUGGGUUUAAAGGGUGCGUAGGCGGUCCGUUAAGUCAGCGGUAAAAUGGCGGGGCUCAACCCCGUCGAGCCGUUGAAACUGGUAGACUUGAGUGGGCGAGAAGUAGGCGGAAUGUGUGGUGUAGCGGUGAAAUGCAUAGAGAUCGCGCAGAACGCCGAUUGCGAAGGCAGCGUACCGGUGUAAGACUGACGCUGAGGCACGAAAGCGUGGGGAUCGAACAGGAUUAGAUACCCGAGUAGUC
rnacentral:rRNA from 1 species